rnacentral:rRNA from 1 species
UGCAUUCAGUUGCCAUCGGGUAAUGCCGGGCACUCUGGAAGGACGUGCCAUCGGACAAGAUGGAGGAAGUGGGGAUGACGUCAAGUCAUCAUGGCCCUUAUGUCCAGGGCGACACACGUGCUACAAUGGCCGGCACAACGGGAAGCGAGUUCGCGAGGACGAGCGGAUCCCUCAAAGACCGGUCGCAGUUCGGAUUGAAGUCUGCAACUCGACUUCAUGAAGCUGGAAUCGCUAGUAAUCGUGGAUCAGCCAAGCCGCGGUGAAUACGUUCCCGGGCCUU